rnacentral:lncRNA from 1 species
ACAAGAGGAAGAAAUCAUAUAUUGGAUAAAACUGUUGGAUUACAAUUGUGGAUAUUACAGGAGGAACAUCAUCCAGAUUUGAUGCAUAAUCUAAACAUUUUUCUUGACAGAAAAACUUAAACAAAAAGGCUUCCAUCAACAUCCCUACAACUUGAACUAAAACUUAAUCGAGGAACAACAUCCAACAGGAACAACAUCCCUACAACUUAACUAAUCCUGAAAGCAUCCACCGUCAUCAUCAUCAUUGCAGUAUACUUGCCACGCACCCAUAUAAUCAUCCAUAUAUCUUUUGAAUCUGCAAAGAAAAUAGAAAAAUGAACUGUUAACACACAAUGAAUUGACAUGAUGCAAGUAUUGAUAGAGGAAAGAUAUUAAACGCCUACAAAGGUUGAAGGUCAUGCAAUCUUUGUUUUAAUGCAUUACCGAGUAUUGUCGUUUUCAUGACUCAGCACCAAAUCUUCAGUUUUCAAAAGUGCCACAUUGACAUGCACUACCCAAAAUCCAUUUGUAAUUUCAGCACCAUCAAGAUUAAAUUUGGGACCACAACUUACAACUAUAGCAAGAGUUACAUACCUGUUAUGAUUAUCAAAAGACACCGGCAUUCAAGGGCAAUGUGAGUGACAGUACCACUUCUCUUCUCUUCUCUCUAGUUAGUUAACAAACUGAAAGAAAACGGUUUUAGCCAUCUGAAACUGAACAAAAACAUUUAGCUCUAGUUGGUUUCAGUCAUCCAACAGGAAACAGACAAACCUAUGGGUGCUCACAGCGCUUUGGAACAAACCUACAGCCCCAAAUAAACUGAAUUGAAUUUACAUGGUCAUCAGCAGCCUAGAGAUCCAUUGCUAAUUCUGUACACCUAUAGUCAAAGCUUUUUUGUGUGAACCAACUGAUAUAUUUAUCCACUGAAACCUACAGCCCCAAAUCCUAUAAAUUUGCAUGGACAUCAGCAUAGAUACUAGCAUGGCUCAAUGGCCGUGGACACAACGAGUAGUAGCACGGUAGGGAGAGGGAGAGAGUAUACCAAC